rnacentral:rRNA from 1 species
UACGGAGGGUGCGAGCGUUGUCCGGAAUCACUGGGCGUAAAGGGCGCGUAGGUGGCCGCUUAAGUGUGUGGUGAAAGCCCGGGGCUCAACCCCGGGUCGGCCAUGCAAACUGGGGGGCUUGAGCAUUGUAGAGGCAGGCGGAAUUCCGGGUGUAGCGGUGGAAUGCGUAGAGAUCCGGAAGAACACCGGUGGCGAAGGCGGUCUGCUGGGCAGUAGCUGACACUGAGGCGCGACAGCGUGGGGAGCAAACAGG